UACGUAGGUGGCAAGCGUUGUCCGGAUUUACUGGGCGUAAAGGGCGUGCAGGCGGUCUGUUAAGUGCAGGGUGAAAGCUCCCGGCUCAACUGGGAGAGGUCCUUGCAUACUGGCGGACUUGAGGGGGGUAGAGGAAAGUGGAAUUCCCGGUGUAGUGGUGAUAUGCGUAGAUAUCGGGAGGAACACCUGUGGCGAAGGCGGCUUCCUGGCCUGUUCUUGACGCUGAGGCGCGAAAGCUAGGGGAGCAAACGGG
rnacentral:rRNA from 1 species